AGGUUUUAUCCUGUAUCUCCAGCAGUAGAAAAGUUGAUGUAUACUGAAGUGGAUCGCAUGUUAAGCUUAGGAGUCAUCGAAGAAAGUACAAGCUCAUGGAGUUCGCCGAUGAGAUUAGUGAUAAAACCUGGGAAAGUAAGAUUAUGUUUAGAUGCAAGAAAGAUAAACGAGGUAACUACAAAAGAUGCGUACCCAUUGCCAAGUAUUGAGGGUAUAUUUGCUCGUUUGCCUAAAGCAAACAUCAUUAGUAAAUUGAUUUGAAAGACGCGUAUUGGCAAAUAGCUUUAGAAGAGGAUUCGAAACCAAUUACAGCAUUUACCGUACCAGGAAGGCCACUAUAUCAAUUCACUGUGAUGCCAUUUGGAUUAUGCACGGCUCCUCAGACCAUGUGCCGCCUUAUGGACUCGAUUAUACCACCAGAUCUCAAGUAUUCUGUAUUUGGGUAUCUAGAUGAUGUUUGUGUAGUGUCAGAUACAUUUGAAAACCAUAUAUCUAUUCUUAUUAGACUAGCCGAACAAUUUAAGAAAGCAAAUCUAACGCUUAACCUCAACAAAAGCAAGUUUUGUGUAAGAAAAGUACAGUAUUUAGGUUAUAUAAUAGGAAAUGGAGGCAUAUCUACUGAUCAAGGAAAGAUAGCAUCUAUAAUUAACUGGCCAAUACCGAAAACAUUAAAGCAAGUUAGGGGUUUCCUCGGCUUAACCGGAUGGUAUCGAAGAUUUAUUGCCAAUUUCGCCGAAGUAACUCACCCUAUCACCGAACAAUUGUGCAAAAAGAAGAAAUUUGAGUGGACUCAAGAGGCCAAUGAAGCUUUUCAAAACAUUAAACGAUUGUUGACUAGUGCUCCCGUUUUAAUAAAUCCAGAUUUCUCUAAAAAGUUUUAUAUUCAUUGCGAUGCAAGUGACUUUGGCAUAGGAGCAGUUCUUGUACAAUUAGGAGAAAAUGGAGAAGAAAAUCCCGUAGCUUAUAUGUCAAAGAAACUGAAUUCUGCACAAAGAAAUUACUCUGUAACAGAGAAAGAGUGCUUAGCAGCAGUAGAGGCAAUCGAAAGAUUUAGGUGCUAUAUAGAACUUCAAGAAUUCGAGGUUAUUACAGACCACAGCAGCUUAGUCUGGCUGAUGAGACAACAAAACUUAAAAGGUAGACUCGCAAGAUGGGUUUUAAAACUACAAUAUUAUAAAUUUUCAAUUAGCCACAGAAAGGGGAAGGACAACAUAGUACCCGACGCGCUCAGUAGGAUGCAUGAAGGCGAUAUAUGCUAUUUAACUAGUAUAGAACCGGAAAUCGAUUUAUAUUCCACACACUUUUUAGACAAUGACUAUAUUACAUUAAAGCAAAAAAUUGAAAACAACCAAAGUUCAUAUCCGGAUAUUAAGAUAAUUGAUAGGUAUGUUUAUAUUCGUAGGAAUUUUAGUAAGGGUAUUCCAGAGAUUGAUGAAAAUUCGUGGAAAUUGUGGAUUCCCGAAGGUUUAAGAACUGACAUUCUAAAACGUUGUCACGAUUCAGUCUUAGCAUCGCACGGUGGCAUUGGAAAAACGAUAAACCUAAUUCGUAGAUACUUCUUUUGGCCUAAAUUGGUGGCUAACGUUAAAGAUUAUGUGAAUAAUUGUCAAAUAUGCAAAAGUACCAAAGCUACAAAUCGAAUACAAAAACCGGAAAUGGGAAAUAUGAGCAUUUCCGUAAGACCAUUUCAACGGAUAUAUGUGGAUCUUCUAGGACCAUAUCCUAGAAGCAAAAAUGGAUUCAUUGGGUUGUUGAUCGUACUUGAUCACUUCUCUAAGUACCACUGGCUUUGUCCCAUUAGGAAAUUUACUUCAUCUGUUAUCACAGAAUUUAUAGAAAAACAUAUUUUUCAUCAUUACGGAGUUCCUGAGAUGCUAAUAAGCGAUAAUGGUAGCCAAUUUCGCAGUAAUGAAUUUAACGCGUUUCUAACGACUUAUGGAGUUCACCAUGUUUACACCGCGUUAUAUUCACCCCAAAGCAACGCUUCGGAAAGGGUAAAUAGAUCGAUCAUUGCCGCAAUAAGAUCGUAUCUUAAAAAAGAUCAUCGCGAAUGGGAUGAAAACAUAUCCUCAAUUAGUUGUGCACUUCGUAAUGCCAUUCACAACUCCAUUGGUUUCUCUCCUUAUCAUGCAUUAUACGGUUUCGAUAUGGUAACGCAUGCUUCGUCGUAUAAACUACUCAAAGAUAUUCAAUCGUUAGGAGAAUCUGAUGUUGAUAUAAUACGUGAUGAUAGGUUAGCUUUGUUACGCGAUACUAUUUCAAAGAACAUGAAAAGAGCUUACGAUAUUAAUGUGAAACAGUACAAUUUAAGAGCCAGGUCAGUGAGUUAUAAUGUAGGACAGGAAGUAUUCCGAAGGAAUUUUGCUCAGAGCAGCGCGGAGAAAAAUUUUAAUGCCAAAUUAAGUCCUCUUUAUAUACGAGCUAAAGUAAAGGAAAAACUAGGAAACUGUUAUUAUGUAUUAGAAGAUAUCGAGUCGAAGAAUUCAGGUACAUAUCACGCCAAGGAUAUCAGAAUUUGAGUAUUAAUUAUAAUAAAAUAUAUUCUAUAUUUUAUGAUUAUCUUUGGUUAAUUUGGUUUAUUUACAUUUUUUGUUACAGAAUAUUGUUGAAAUUUUAAAUUACACUAUAACUAUGGGAUCGAACAGAACACCUUUGUGCCUCAUUUGUAACACAGAAAUGGUAGAAAGUCGUUUAUACUUGACAAUUAGUGAUUGCCAACAUAAAUAUCAUUUAUAUUGUGCAGACAUGUAUUUCAAGCUACAUGGGGAAUGUCCCCGUUGCAACCGAUCCAAUUUUGUACAAAGAAAAAUAAAUGCAAUGCUUCGUUUUCUGGAUAGACGACAACAAAUUCAAAGUGAACUUUUACAAAUAUCGCAAUAAUGAAACCGCGAUUGUUUUUCCGCCUAAUUUAGUGCGAAAAAUCUUUAAAUUAUCCGGUUUUGUAAUGUGCAAUCCGGUUGAAAUAAAAAUUUAUACCCAAUAGAUCUUUUACAUUUUCUCAAACUCAAUUUUUACACAUUUUUCUUGUUACAUAUUUUCAUAAUAAAAAAUUCGUAUUGUUGUUAUUUUUAAAAUUUUACAUUUAAAUAUUGUUAAAAUCUUUUUGUUAAAUAUUUCUAAUAAACAAACUCUAUCGCAACAAGUUAUGUAUUGUUUAUAUUAUUAUUUGAAAUGAUCGUAAAUUUUAGCGGUAAUGCCAAGUUCAAUAUUACGUAUCGGUUCACGGCGAAUUCAAAUGUCAUCGUUUGAAUUAGUCACUAGAGGGCUUAUAGCCUGGAAAGAAAUGUCAUUUAGGGUUGGGCUAAAUUUUCAUGAAGGUGAGGUAGUAUCUAACCAGGAAACCAUCAUCCUUUUCCGUUUUAUCUGGCCUACCAUCAACACCUAAACUCUAAAGAUUGAGUUAAUACUACGGGUAAAUAUAGCUAAAGAAAUUGAACAUUUUUGAAAGUGCAGGAUUCCCUGUUUGAAGGAAAUCUCAACGAUUUAAUCAUAAAGGAAUAGUAAACUUUUUAAGUGGAUUCCAUCCUCAUAAUUGUUCCGUAAAUCCAUCAAUCACACUUAGCAAUCAAGAAAGAUAAGGUAAUUUUAACCAAAUCCUCUUUCUUAUUCAGAAUCUGGAUACUAAUAUUUGAAAUAUUUUUCCAAAACCAUUUACAGGCCUUUUACUCCUUGGAGAGUUAAAAUUACUUCGUUAAUUUUUCAUUUAUUUUUGACAUAAAAUCCAUCGAAUCUUUAUUCUUUUAAUUCUGUUUGGUUGAUGUCAAAAAAAAAGAAGAAUAAGAAUAAUAGGACAGGAGAACGAAAGGAGAGGAAAAGAUCUGUCAAUAUUUGAUCCCACUAAAAUUCCCAUAAGAAGAAGCAUCAUCACUUCUAUAAGAGUUAAAGUAUCAACAUAGAUCAAUGUAAAAUCAAAGAUAAACGAAUACAGAUCAAA